GUCGAACGAACUCUUCGGAGUUAGUGGCGGACGGGUGAGUAACACGUGAGAACCUACCCUUAGGAUGGGGACAACAGUUGGAAACGACUGCUAAUACCCGAUGUGCCGAGAGGUGAAAGAUUUAUCGCCUAGGGAAGGGCUCGCGGCUGAUUAGCUAGUUGGUAAGGUAAAGGCUUACCAAGGCGACGAUCAGUAGCUGGUCUGAGAGGAUGAGCAGCCACACUGGGACUGAGACACGGCCCAGACUCCUACGGGAGGCAGCAGUGGGGAAUUUUCCGCAAUGGGCGAAAGCCUGACGGAGCAAUACCGCGUGUGGGAGGAAGGCUCUUGGGUUGUAAACCACUUUUCUCAGGGAAGAAUAGAUGACGGUACCUGAGGAAUAAGCAUCGGCUAACUCCGUGCCAGCAGCCGCGGUAAUACGGAGGAUGCAAGCGUUAUCCGGAAUCAUUGGGCGUAAAGCGUCCGCAGGUGGCCUAUCAAGUCUGCUGUCAAAGCGCAGAGCUCAACUUUGUAAAGGCAGUGGAAACUGGUAAGCUAGAGUACGGUAGGGGUAGCGGGAAUUCCCAGUGUAGCGGUGAAAUGCGUAGAUAUUGGGAAGAACAUCGGUGGCGAAGGCGCGCUACUGGGCCGAAACUGACACUGAGGGACGAAAGCUAGGGGAGCGAAAGGGAUUAGAUACCCCUGUAGUCCUAGCCGUAAACGAUGGAAACUAGGCGUGGCUUGUAUCGACCCGAGCCGUGCCGAAGCUAACGCGUUAAGUUUCCCGCCUGGGGAGUACGCACGCAAGUGUGAAACUCAAAGGAAUUGACGGGGGCCCGCACAAGCGGUGGAGUAUGUGGUUUAAUUCGAUGCAACGCGAAGAACCUUACCAAGGCUUGACAUGUCGCGAAUCCUGCUGAAAGGUGGGAGUGCCUUAGGGAGCGCGAACACAGGUGGUGCAUGGCUGUCGUCAGCUCGUGUCGUGAGAUGUUGGGUUAAGUCCCGCAACGAGCGCAACCCUCGUUUUUAGUUGCCAGCAUUAAGUUGGGCACUCUAGAGAGACUGCCGGUGACAAACCGGAGGAAGGUGGGGAUGACGUCAAGUCAGCAUGCCCCUUACGUCUUGGGCAACACACGUACUACAAUGGUCGGGACAAAGAGCAGCGACCUCGCGAGAGUAAGCGAAUCUCAUCAAACCCGGCCUCAGUUCAGAUUGCAGGCUGCAACUCGCCUGCAUGAAGGAGGAAUCGCUAGUAAUCGCAGGUCAGCAUACUGCGGUGAAUUCGUUCCCGGGCCUUGUACACACCGCCCGUCACACCAUGGAAGCUGGCCACACCCGAAGUCGUUACCCUAACCUUUCGAGGAGGGGGACGCCGAAGGUAGGGCUAGUGACUGGGGUGAAGUCGUAACAAGGUA
rnacentral:rRNA from 1 species